rfam:Acidibacillus ferrooxidans strain ITV001 contig0001, whole genome shotgun sequence.
GGGGGCGUUCUGGAUUCGACGGGGAUUGUUCGAGCAUGAGCGGCGGGUCGUGGGGCUGCGGCCACGUUAAUCACGCGGACCUAAACACAAACGCAAAAACAAAACGUAACACCUUCACAAGCAGUAACCUCGCUCUCGCUGCCUAAUAAGCCUUGAGUGACGUCUUUAUAUCCUUCUCCCAUGGGGAUGUAGAGGCGCUACCUUAGUGGGAUAGUCGGGGCGGUCGCUCGUGCGCCUCCGAUGAAUCAAAACGCGAGCUAGCCGUCACGUGAGCGCGUCGCUGCGCGCAUGCGGCGGUGAAUCUUAAAUCGGCGACUACACCCGUAGAUGUGAUUGUAGCGAGGUCUUCGGACAGGGGUUCGACUCCCCUCGCCUCCACCA